UCUCAAGUCUUAUCCACAUUUUUGCUCUGAACCAAAUUUUAUCAGCUUUUCUGAAUUAGAUUUGGAAGUUCAUUUCAGUUGGAUGUGAUUCUACAGAACGUUGAAGAAUCUGCUAGAAUCCGAAUAUCUUAAGGGAAAGAGGGACAUUGCUGAGAGAAUUAUAGUUGAUGAUAACGCACUUCAUCUUGUAACAAAUUGAAGACCAACUAUUGUUUCUAGAACCUUCUUAUAUCUCACUCUUUCUAUUUCUUACACAAAAUGGCGGUAGUUGACACAUCGAAUAAGAAUAAGCAGUCCACAUUAUCUGUUUACCUUUACAUCCCCAAUAUCACUGGAUACAUAAGAAUUAUCAUGAAUAUUGUUGCAUUUGCUCGAUCUUUUGAAGAUAAGAAACUCUUCGCAAUACUAUACUUCAUCAGCUUUGUGUGUGACGGCUUAGACGGCUGGUUAGCUCGCAAAUUCAAUCAAGAUGAAGACCGCUGCAGAUGUGUGUGUGCUAUAUGAUAUCAACAGGAAGCAGAAACACUGAGUUGAUCCUCGUCUAACCAUUUCAGCUUCUAUUUUGUUUGGGUGUGCAUGAUGCUGUGUUGGCAAAGGUUCUCAAACAUGGGAUGAGGUUGAUUAGUUAAGAUGAAAUGCGCAGUCUGCUAGCCAGAUUUCUUGCUCAUCAUAUGGCACCCUGUUUGGCACUGUGGUUCUUGUCUUUAAAUGGAAGAAUCUUGUUAUGCAGAAUCAUUGUUGACAUUAUUAGGUCAGCGUAGAUUUAUUUUUCUCAUUUCCAGGUGGAAUAAAACAUUAAUCAGUGGAUUGUUUUGUUUUAUCCUUGAUGAAAAUGGAAGAGCAACUUAUCAUGAAAUAGAAAUGAUUUCUGUUUUUCAACCCCCUUUUUACACUUUUCACCCACUGUUGACUUUGUCAACUGCUCACGACUUUGUCAAAGUGGAGAGAGAAAAAAAUCUUUUAGUUCCACAAACACGCUGAGCUCCUUGCCCUUCCCCCUAAUGGCUUUGAGGUGUAUGUUGGCAGCAUCCCUUGAGAAGCUUCCAGAGAGGAUGCAAGGAGAUUUUGUGAGACUGUUGAAGAGGCCACCGAGAUAAGGCUGAUGAAAGGAAAAGAUCCUCGUGAGAGUUGGGUCUAUGCAUUUGUGACCUUCAGAAAUAAAGAGUUGGCUGUGAAUGCCAUAAAGGAACUCAUAUUUCAAAAUUGAAGGAUAAAGCAGUGAAGUGCCCGCCUUCUCAAGCAAAGCACUCGUUGGAAAUAAUUGUAGAAGCUGGGGAGAGGAUGAUAUAAGGAAGGCUGUGACAGAAAUUGGUUCCUGGGUGGAACUGCGAAAGGACCAAUAUAACUCCAGCCGCAACCGUAGCUUUGCAAUUUGUCGAGUAUUACAACAAUGCCUGGUCUGCGUAUUCCAAGGCAUAAGAUCCGGAUUUAAUCUCGGCAAAAAUGCUUGUAAAGUGGAAGACCUUAAGCAUUUAGAUACUCCCUCUUCCUCUCAGCAACAGCCUGUGAUGCAACCAAUCACUCCUCCACAACCGAGAAGUGGAAGGAGCGACAAUGACUCAAUGGAUCCAGGUAUGGCACAGUGACAGAUACAGCAGCAAUAACAGGAGUCGUGGGUCAAACGGAGGAAGGCAUAGCUGUGGUGAUAAUGUCCGACUGUAACCGCGGCCUUGAUCAAAGGUGUCGCCCAUAUUGAUAGAUCACCUAUUCAUUACUGCUGUCAACUAUCGAUCUAUUCAUUACCUUUUAGCAAUAGCUUGUAACCUCUGUAGGUGAUAUGUAAUCAGACUCGAUGAACCUUGAUAGUUGUACAUUGUUUUCAUGGAGAGAUUUGCUAAAUAAACAAAGUCU